rnacentral:lncRNA from 1 species
GGCCAUUGACCAGCGGGACAAGGUGGGCUCAAUGUCAUCACAAGGGUGCUUAAGAGGGAAAGAGGAAGCCAUGAGGGUCAGAGUCAAAGGAAGACUUGAAGAUACUACACUGCGGACUUUACAGAUGAAGGAAGGGGCGAAAACCAAGAAUGUGGGAAGCCUCUAGAAGCUAGAGAAGGCAAGGAAACAAAUUUUCCACUAGAGCCUCCAGAAGGAACACAGCCCUGCUGACCCACUGUAAUGUCUGACCUCUAGAUGUGUAAGGGUAGUAAGACUGAAAGUCUCAGAAAGGCACUGUUACAUUCUUAUUCCACAACUAUGCAACUCGAAACUGGGGUCCUCAGCAGUGAGCGAGGGGUGAGAGAAGACACUGUAUAAACAUGGCACAUCCUCCUGGAAAGUCAACUUUACUCAAAGGUUCUUACACACAGUGACAGCUAGCAGAGUCUAAAAUGCUGACAUUAUGACUUAGAGAUGUGAUAAAGAGAAACAUCUACUGCAUUUUCUGUGUGCUUCCUGAGGUUGACUUCAGAUCGAUGUGGAUGUACACUUGGACCAAGUUCUACAUUAGGAACACUUUAAGUGAUUGAUCUAGAGGUGCCCCUGCUGUGAAAAUGGAAAGAAAUGUAAUGUUUUGGUCAUGGGAGAGCUGCCAAUUCCACAGUACCAGCACAGGCCCUGGAGCCAGACUGUCUGGGGUUUGAAAUCAGCUCCUCCACCUACCAGCUAUUGACCUCAGUUUUGCAAGAUGUUAUCACCAGAGGAAGCUGCAUUAAGAGUACCCUUCUCUAUGGUAUGUCUUACAACUGCAGAUGAAUCUACAGUUCCCUCAAAACAAAAAGGUUGGGAACAUGACCUAAUGGUGUGCUACCAUGCAACUCUUUCCAGCUCCAUGUUCAGUGACUUCAUAUUGGGUGUUGUCUAUUUGCCCUCCACUUGUAUACAGGCUGGCCUUUGUGACUUGCUUUGUACAGCUGAUGUGACAUCUUGAGACAUCUGAGGUCAAGGCCUUAAGAAGACUGGUAGUUUUUUCUGGAUGCUAAGAGAAGAAAGUGAUUCAAGGAGGAGGGUGUAAUCAACUUCAUCAAGUGCUGCUGACAAGUCAAGUAGGAUGAGGACCAGGAAGUGGUCAUUGGAAAUACCAGUGUGGAUGUCAUUUGCGAUUUGGUAGAUAGUAAUCCGAGUGGAGCAUUUGGAGC